GUAUUAAACCUAGACUUUUGUCUAAAUAUAACAAUAUAUUUCACUAUUUCGUACUACCAGGGAAUACAUUUUAAUAUGUAUAAAAAACCAACCACUAUUCCAGUAGAUAAGACAAUCGCGUCAUCAAUAUUGGCUUUUUUUCAUACCAGGAAAUGUACGAAGAAAAACACAGAAUAUUAUUAAAAGUUGAUAUUUUCUGGGGCAUCCCUUUUGCUUAACAACGUCAUAUAAACGUUUUGACAUAUUUUGUAUAAGUUUUCUUGUGUAGGAAACAGGGAUAUUACUCCACUCUUCUUGUAGUCUAUUUUUCUGACCUUGGGCAGAAGAGAUUGAGUAUUCUCGCACAUGGCGGACUAUUUAUCCCAUAUAUUUUUGAUGAGGCCAUGCCUGGCCAAAGUACUUUACCCUUUUCCCAAAUCACUAGUCUUGAAUCCGGUGAAAAAUAUGUGAUGAAAUGGAUGGUUCGUCCUAUUACAUUUGUGAAUUGUGAACAAAGAAGAAAUUUUGAUGAAGUCUGUACAUUUCCAGCCCAAUGUAUCACAACUUUCUUUCGUGCGCGUUCAUUGAAGAGGAGAACAAUGACAUCCGCGACCCUCUAGCGCCACGUCAUAGCAAAGUAAAUUUGGCAUUGGUGAAUAAAAAGGUCGCUGGCGUAUUCCACACGGAAAACGAAAGAGCUGCUAUAGCCCAAAGAAGCUUCGAAGACUCGCAAAAGAUGGUGUAGCUCUUUACCACAUUUGCCUCCAUUACAAAGUGACAGGAGAUUAUUUGAAUUCUACAGCACUCCAGGCGAUCUAUAAAGAUGAUGGUGUUGAAGUUUGUGUGGAGGCACCAUGAUAGACGCAGUGGAGUCAACCAGUUAGAGGACGGCCGACACAAUUUA